AUGUACAGGCCAAAGAUGAAUGGGGCUGUUGAAGCUACUAAUAAGAAUAUCAAGAAAAUCAUCCAGAAAAUGGUUGUUACUUAUAAGGAUUGGCAUGAAAUGCUCCCUUUUGAUUUGCAUGGAUAUCGAACAUCUGUCCGCACUUCAACAGGAGCAACCCCGUUCUCCCUAGUGUAUGGAAUGGAAGUUGUACUCCCAGUCGAGGUUGAGAUUCCCUCUUUACGUGUGAUAAUGGAAACCAAGUUGACUGAAGCUGAAUGGGUCCCAAACCGGUUUGACCAAUUGAAUAUGAUCGAAGAGAAGAGGAUGACAGCUUUGUGUCAUGGACAGUUAUAUCAGCAAAGAAUAAAGAAAGCUUUCGAUAAAAAGGUCAAACCUCAUGAAUUCAAAGAAGGAGACCUCGUGCUCAGGAAGAUCAUGUCUUUCAACACUGAUUCUAGGGGCAAGUGGACUCCCAAUUUUGAAGGCCCAUGUGUUGUCAAGAAAGCCUUCUCU